CUUCUCGCGUCUCCGUGGAUUUUCGUCUCGUCGUCUUCGUGGUCCGCGUCCAUCCGCCACGCUACGAAACUCUCGUACACCAUGAAAUUCUGGUAGAGAAUGAACGAAACAGAUGGAGGCAGACUUCCAUAUCUUCGCUUCUCGUAUUAUGGUGGACCAGCGCGGUCAACGUUUUCUUAUUUGGUGACCAAUCGAACAGCUCGCUCUCAUCCGAGACGAUCUCGACGCAGACCAGGCUGGAUCCUUACACAGAGGAGGAAGAAGAAGAAGAAGGAGAAGCAAGCGGUGGAAGCAAGACGCAACGAAACUCAGUACGAGGAUCGUCCCACGGACUAACAGACGAAGAAAACGAAUCCUGGCUCUCUCUCUCUGUCUAUAGUACGGCGCGAGACAACUCCGAACGCGGACGACACGAGUGCGACGACGAUACGUCUCGGUCAUCGGAAACAAUGGCACCGAGCAUCCAAACUCUAUCUGCCCUUUUUUCUUCAACAUCGCGUGCACCAUUUUAGGAACACCUUAUUCUACGAUUCUUGUCUUGUCAACACGAAUUCACUCUAUCAAUGUUAUAUUUCCCAAAGGAUUUUCCGAAUAUUCCAAAACAAGAAAAACAA